GAUGAACGCUGGCGGCGUGCUUAACACAUGCAAGUCGAACGGAAAGGCCCUGCUUGCAGGGUACUCGAGUGGCGAACGGGUGAGUAACACGUGGGUGAUCAGCCCUGCUCUUCGGGAUAAGCAAGGGCAACUGGGUGUAGUACCGGCCAGGAGCUAUUUUUAACGGGAUGGUUGGAAAGUUAUUUCCGUGUAGGCUGAGCUUGCGGGCUAUCAGCUUGCUGGGGGGGUUAUGGGCUACCGAGGCGGCGUCGGGUGGCAGGCCUGCGUGGGUGGGCCGCCAUAUUGAGACUGAGGUGCGGCCGAAGCUCCUACUGGUGGCAGCAGUGGGGAAGAUUGCACGAGGGGCGCAGGCCUGAUGCAGCAGCGCCGCGUAGGGGAUGACGGCCUUCGGGUUGUAAACUCCUUGUGCUAGGGACGAAGCUUUUUGUGACGGUACCUAGAUAAGAAGCACCGGCUAACUACGUG
rnacentral:rRNA from 1 species